UUUUUAAUCCCUGAUCAUUAAUCAAAUCUUGACAUGUGGAAGUGGAAGAUUUCCUAAUGUUUACAGUUUCCCAACAUUGCUGUAUAUCAAUGAGGUGACAGCCGCUCCUGUAAGUAUAUAUAAGAAAGGCUCAACAUUCAUAGCACAACAACCUCCUCGACCAUCUGUGAGACAGUCAGCUCAAGACUCAAAGGUGUGAUCACUGUAACCAUGCUGAAGGUAGCACUUGUGCUUGGAUGCCUCCUGAGCCUCGCUCUGGCUCAUCCUAUGGUGCACAAAGCAGUUCCUCAGUCUAGCUCCAACUCCCAUGAGGCUGCCGGGCAACGGCCUGCGUCUGUGUGGGCCCCAGACCUGUCUUUCCAGGACUUUCUUAAUAUGCUCACCAAACUCACAGCUCCUCCUGCUCUUCCUAAAAAGUAAAAUCUGAAAUGUAAGCAGAGAUUGAUGAGUACAGAAAAAAAAACAGUAUUUAAUGAGACAGAUGUUUGACAUCAGCUUUGUUUUGUGUCAGUUUGUCAAGUCAACUGUUUUUUCUUCUUUUCAAAUUGUAAUGAUGUUAUCUUAACCAUGAUGUUGUUACACUCAUCAUUGUAGUUCACUCAAACAUGCGGAUCCAAAUCACUUCAUUCUCUGUACUAUCUGCACAAUAAACUUCACAAAUAGAAAACAUGGA